rnacentral:tRNA from 1 species
AUUUAGAUAUUUUAAAAAAAAUAAUGAUUUGUGGUAUCAUUGAUGUAAAUAUAUUUUACUUUAAAUU